rnacentral:rRNA from 1 species
GAUGAACGCUAGCUACAGGCUUAACACAUGCAAGUCGAGGGGUAACGAGAGGAAAGCUUGCUUUCCUUGUCGACGACCGGCGCACGGGUGAGUAACGCGUAUCCAACCUGCCCCCAACUAGGGAAUAACCUUGCGAAAGUAAGACUAAUGCCCUAUAAUUUCCUCAGAUGACAUCUGACGAGGAAUAAAGAUUUAUCGGUUGUGGAUGGGGAUGCGUCUGAUUAGCUUGUUGGCGGGGUAACGGCCCACCAAGGCAACGAUCAGUAGGGGUUCUGAGAGGAAGGUCCCCCACACUGGAACUGAGACACGGUCCAAACUCCUACGGGAGGCAGCAGUGAGGAAUAUUGGUCAAUGGGCGGAAGCCUGAACCAGCCAAGUAGCGUGCAGGAUGACGGCCCUAUGGGUUGUAAACUGCUUUUAUACAGGAAUAAAGUUAGCCACGUGUGGUUAUCUGUAGGUACUGUAUGAAUAAGGACCGGCUAAUUCCGUGCCAGCCGCCGCCGUAA